AAAAAAAAAGUCAAGAGAAAGCAGAUCAGAAAAGCAACAAAAUUAAAAUGAACAACUUACUUGAUGAUCAAGGUUUAAGGCAGGUAAUACAUUCUUUAACAUCACCAUAUACCGCAAGUUAGUAAUCCCCUUCAAGUUUUUCUGUUGCAAAACAUGCAUGUGUUCACUUGCACCUCUCAUUCUUUCAUCGACUUCUAUCAAUAGUGGCAUCAAUACAGGAAACACACAAGGUGCUGACGGCUAAAUGUCGGGACCGUCGGCACAAGGCCCGUUUCAGCCAGGCCAGCAGGCAAGCCAUCGACACAGGAAGCUUUGUGCCGACGGCAGCUAUCGGCACAGUUUUGGCAGUCGCCACACACCUGGUCUAGCCAUCGGCAUAGGUUAGCCAUCGGCAUAGCCUCUCCGCCGUGACGGCGAGGUAACAACGUUAGGUCUGUGCCGUCGGCCCAGCUUUUUUUUUUCAUUUUCCAUUUGCCACAUUAAUCUUUGAAAAAUCAUAACUAAAUCAUUAUAAUUCAUAAAAAUACAAAUAAUAUAUCAAAAUUUGCAGAAAAAUAAGAUCUAUCCUGUAAAAAUAUCAAACUUGGAAUAUUGCAUCAUGUUCUCAGAAAUGAGCUAUCAUGUUCGAUGUUUUACGGCUUUCAAAAAUUUCUCAGAAAUGAGCUAUCAUGUUCGAACGACCAAUGUUUUGGCUAGAACCGUUGCAUAGUUUGUGAUUAUGUAUCCAUAUUAUGCACACAUGUGCACCUUGGGAUGGAGAACAAUGUUGCAGCAGGAAGGUUUCUUUUUUGUCGCACCAAAAAGCUAUUUUCCAUUUUCCAAAUCCCAAAAACGGGAUAUUUUGUGAAGCAACCACCAGAUGAAAUUUUCACAAUGGUACCACUCAAUUUUUCAAAAAUACUAGACCAUCUUAAAUGCACGAUUUUCCAUCUGGGGUAUCUUAAACAUUUAUGUCCAGCACUCGUGAAAAAACCAAAUUCCUGCCAAAUUGGUAGGAAGUCGGUCAGAUUUGAAGAUUAGAGAUCUAAACCCCGUUCAAGAUUUCGAAACUAUGUUGGCCAAGAGGUCUAGCUCGGCAUGGGUUCUGAAGGCAACUGAAGAGAUGAAGAAUUACACGACUGCUUUGAUAGAAAAUUCCCCUGAAGGAAACUAUUACCAGAAGGUGCUGGAGUGUUUCGUUGCUCUGCGGAAGGCCUGUAUAAUUGAACAAGAGCCGAAUGAAUUUAACCAGUUUCUGGCUGCGCUUUACGAGAGGUUGAAGGCGGUGGAUGCGUUGUCAAGUUCUUUCAGCUUAUCGCGUCCAAGAAUGUUUUGCUUAUAAGCAAAGAAGAAGCAUCUGACAGCGAUGUGACGGAAGAGAUGGCGAGAAGCUUCUUGGUGAAAACAGAAGCAUCCUCUCAGUAGCAUCCACCAUGCUAGCAGCUGUGUGGUCUCUGCGAUGGAUUCGGGUGGGAACAUUUUGUGGUUUCAAAUUCUCCUGCGCCACCAGCAUGAACGCUCGCCUGCGAGGGAAUGUUGGGACCCAAGCCGUGGAGGUGAUUGACUGGCUUUGAAUCCAACAAUUGCAAAUUGUGGUGUCGAUGAUUUCUGAUGGAUAAAACAUAUUCGCAUGUCCCACGAGUACUUCACCUUUCGUAUCUAAGCACUCUAAUGGAAUAUCCCAAAGUUAGUGAGGCCUAGUUUUGUCAAGACCCAAUGCUUCAAGGCGUCAAGGUAAUAACCAUAUCAGUUCCUUCACCGGGAAAGAAAGAUGUCGGAAGAACCAUAUUCACCUUCUGGUCAAACAAAGAGUGUUCAAUUGCAAUGUUAAGUUAUUACCAAGAAAAGAGAAAUUUCUUAUUCUAAAGGAUGGGAUCAAUUCUGAAGAUUUUUUCUUGGCAAGAAACAUAGAAGAAUAAGUUAAAAGUAGAACCAUCUUUCAAGGCUGACUGUGUAGCUCCAUAACUUUGACCACACCCCAGACAAAAGGGUAAACUAUUUUCAGAUAAAGUUUGCUUUCUCAAAA